CGAGCGGGGCGGGGCCGAGCAGCGCCCUCAGCCCGGGCCGCGCUGCUUCACGGCCACGCGGGGAGGGGCCGGCCGGCAAUCGGCGCAGUCCCGGCUGCAGAAGGCCCGAGCGGUGCUCUCCGUUCCCAUAGAAAUAACGCGCCCUUUAAAGUCACCGCUUACCCAUGGCUUAGCAGGUGGAGGGAGGUGAUCCUGCCCCUCUGCUCUCGUGAGACACCGCCCGCAGUGCUGCGCCCAGUUCUGGAGCCCUCAAGGCGAGAAGGACAUGGAGCUGUUGGAGCGGGUGCAGAGGAAGGCCACGAAGGGGAGCAGAGGGCUGCAGCAGCUCCCUGAGGGACAGGCUGAGAGCCGGGACUCUGCAGCUUGGAGACGGCUUGAAGGGACCUUAUAGCCCUUCCAGGACCUGAGGGGGCCUACAGGAAAGCAGGGAGGGACUUUUCACAAGGGCAGGUAGCGACAGGACCAGGGGAAGUGGUUUUGAACUGGAAGAAGGUAGAUUUAGACUAGAUAUUAAGAUUGAAUUAUUCACUGUGAAGGUGUUCCAUUCUGAAGCAUCACAGACUGCAAUGCUAAAUUGGAAGAAACACUGCUGGUGCUUCGAUAAAGCAGACCUACAGAGGAAUCUGCAACCACACUUCUGGCACUGCUUAAGCUGCAAGAAAAAGAAGCUCUGACAAAGGCUUUUAAAAGUGUUUAUUGAUAGUUAUUAGACGGAAUGAUGGCGUAGUAGUGCAAACCAAUGUGCAAUUGGGAGAACAAGCCUCCCUUCCCAGCUUUCACAUUUACUUUAUUACACAGGAGACACGGAAUAAGGAUUAAAUACAAAAUGGGUCAGUAUGAUGCAUUUACCACACUACGUUGGGCUUUGGACAGAUUACUGAUCCCUCAGUGCAGGUCAGUUUGGAGCUACAACAAAGCAGGGAGUGGCUGCUAUGUCCUGACCAGCUCUGCUAGCAAGACAGCUAAAACCAGCAGUCCUUAAUCUGCACGCACAUCCUCAAUCUCAAAACCUUAGCACUUUGCUCAGCCAAUUUCUGCACUUUGUUUCAUAAAGAAGGGAAAAUAACAGACAUUCACAAGCCACACAAUAUUUACUAAGACAUUACAAUAAGCUUCAAGAGUCCUUCAAAGCAGGAUUUCUCCUAAUACUCAGCUGUCUUGUUUGCCUGUAAGCUUAGGUGCCUGCUUCCUCAUCUUUGCACCACUUCCCCCCUGAAAAAUCAAUUAGGAGCAAGAAGCUCAACUUGUAUUUUAGUGCUUUGAGAGUCAACAUUGGAAGAGAUUUAUGUGUUCAAUAAUGAACCAUCAGCUAGUUUCUUCAAUGACAUUGCACUGCUAGACAGGAUGUCCUUAGACUUACAGUACUCAACUGGUGCAUUAAAAAAAAACAACCCCAACCAUGCACAAAAAUUAAUAAAAGCAAUGAGUCUCAAGGCUAAACUGACCGUUCCCAAGCACGUAGUGGUUCCAACUAUCAUCCACGCAUACUUCUUGCUUCUCAGAUCUGCAGUGGCAUCUUUGUCUUCAACUGAAUUUAGAACCACAGCCACCCAGAGACUAAUAAAACCACGGGGCAGAUACCGGAGACUUGAGAAACUGCUGGAUUAAGGUAAUGAAAGUCAGUGUUGUGCCCUCUUUGAAUGUCAUUCUUAUUCCAGUCCAACAGAGUUAUCUGUACAUAUAAAAAGUUAAAUUUCUGCCAUUUGUCAAAUUAAACAAGACAUCUCCAAUUAUUGAUCACACUUCAGCAUACAGUUGGGACAGGGAAUAAUCCAUUACAGAAAGCAAAACCACAAGAUGUUAGUUACAUAAAACAAUAUAAUUUGUAUAUAAACUGAUAAAUACUGUCUCCAUGGUUCACUAAUUCCAAACACUAGUUGUCUGCACAUUAGUUGCUAAUAACUAUUACUAGAAGUAGUUCCAGCUUGUGCUCUCUCAGGGUGGUUUCAUUUCCGAGACUAGUCUGCCUGUUCAUGCUGGGGGAAAAAUAUUCUCAGCCAUGAGACAAGGUUCCAUGUGAAGAUUUCACUUUGCUGUCCACCAGAUAAUUAAUCCUAAGAUUAUGGAGGCCACAGCAAGACCAAGAAUCAGGAUGCAGAUCUUCUUACGGGAUUUCUUCUGAUAAUAGGCAGCUCUCUGUAACUGCUCACUGGCUCUUUCCACAUGAACUUCAGCACUUUCCACAUUUGCCUCUAUGCUAUCAAUCAUAUCUCCUUGGUCAUGAAUCAUCAUGGCUAAAUCCUUAAAUAUCUGAUUGACAUCCAAAAUGUCGGCCUCUAAUUGCCUGAUUGCCGUUUCUCUUUCUUUAAUAAGUUCAAGAUCCUGUUCAGUUAUUGCUGCAUCUUCUUCUUGAGACUGCAUUUGACUCCAGUCUUCA
rnacentral:lncRNA from 1 species